CCCUCAUGAUGACAUUGGGCCCACCUGUAUAAUCCCGGAGCACCUCUUUAAGAUCAGCUGUAGCAACCUUAAUUCCUCCCCGCCAGUACUGGAGGCUGGAAAGUCCAAGCUUGAAGGUGCUGGCCAAUCCCGUUCCCGGCGAUUGGGCCCCUCCCUGGCUUGCAGAGGCCUGAGUUCCCGUGGAGUCACCACGCGCCUUUCCUUGGGCCCAGCUGAAAGAGGCCAUCAAUCACAGCCGGCCCGCCAGGCCCA